UGUACAAUUGAAACAAAGUAAACGGUUCCUCAAAACGAAAGAUUUACAUUCGUCAUUUGAGCAGCACUUGUCUUGGCCUAUACGUAACUGUAAGCUCCAGACUCAGAUUUACAACUAUUAUCUGCGUUCGGUUAGCUUAAAUAUUUGUUAUUAUAUUUUAUAUAAGUAAAUCUUAAACUUUAUUUGUAAUUUCCUCAACAUGUUCGUGUUAAUUUUUCUUUUUCGUUUCGAUUAUCUGUGGCCUCUUGGACUCUUGCUUAUAUCGUGUUUGUAUUGCCAAUAAGACAUUGAUUAAAAGCAGUUAAUUAAGCAAAACAGCCAGAAAGCGAACGAUCGCAGACUGAACUGCCUCACAACACACAGUAAAUAUAAACAUCACUUAUAUUGAAUUCUUAGGCUAUCACGGUCUUCGUGUCUUGUCCGAGUAGUCUUCUUGUAAACAAAUAAAAAUAACAAUAUAUAUUGUUUUACUGCAACUUCUAAGAGUUUUCGAAAUUGUAAAACCAUAGCAGUUAAGCAAAUUAUACUUUCCUCCUCAGUGUCAUGGCCACUAACAUUUACUACCUCGUAACAGUACCAUCGCUAACCAUUCACGAGAUGCUGUUAAAAUGCCACUUUAUUGCUUCUCCUGUUUUCGCUUUUCAAUAUGUGUUCGCUUUUCGUGCAUAUUUGUUGCUAUUGAUUGAUGCAGCUUUUACUGAUUACUUUUACCUUCCAAACUUGGCGCAUCGGUUCAAGUUCAACGACAGAGAGGACAAGGUGGCGACUCUGUCGGGAGGUUGCCGAGACACAUAAUAACACAACACAUUUUGAUGACAUCACCGAAGUUAAGACACGUGGCACGUCUUUUAUUCGCUUUCAGUUUCUCUUAACUGUACAUAGAGACUGUUCGGACUCUGUGGCAUAUGCUGCUGCACAAGCUCUGCGCAAGCUGAGACAAGUGUUCUGCUCAUUGCCAUAUUUAGCGUUAAAUGAAGACCUAACCUUGGCAUCGUUUCGUCACAAAAAAGAACCAAAACAUAGAUAGAAUCGAGAACAAUCACCAAAGAAAACAUGAAACUAUAAAUUUAUAAUCACGACCUGAAUGGGGGAUACGUUUCCUUUUACUAACUCAAGCGCAUACACAUAUUAACUAGCAAGGGUGCGUGCAGCAAAGGUGAGCAAAAAAUGGCAUUUAGACAAAAUGUUGCGCAUGUCUCUUGUCUUGCUUGAAAACUCCAAUGCAGCUGCAGCUGGCUGUGAACUGUUUUACCGACAUUGUGGGGACCUGGUUUUAAAUGGUUCACAUUAAUUGUAAACAACAAGCCAGUUAUAUAAAGUUCGCCAGAGCCGGCACACCCUCUUCUCACUUAGCAUCGGAGCAUACACGUUGAGCUAGAACUGAAUGCACAGCCACGCAAAAAAUAGAUUAUAGCUAUGUCUCAACUCAGCAUCUUAGAAGCUUGUGGACGUUAGCUUGAUCUAUAUACCCUUGGCAGUAACUAUAUAUAAACGGAACUGGUGUUUAUCGAAUAAAAACAACAAUUUAUAAUAAAAAACAAUGAAUGUGAAGAAUUUAAUUCUGUUUCUAAUAUUUAACUUUAUUCUACGGCAAAUAAGCAACCUGCGAUUUAAAGAAGACCAUUUAUAAAGUUUUAUGCAGAAAGCUUUAAAACUGAGAGCGCCCUUUGCGUAUAAACGGAUUGACUGACUGCCGGAUAUACAUACAUAUGUUAUCGGAUUGAAAUCUAUAUUGCCUCUACGUUAUUGUGAUUAAAACAAUAAUCGAAGACAGAUUUAUAAAUAAAGAAAUAGUAAAAAUAAUGUAAAAAAAAUCCAAUCUGCUGAACCCAAUUAUUUUCAGCUCCAUUUGACUUUAUAACCAACACAGCAUUUGCCAUAAUUCUUUUUUACUAUUAUAAUUGUUUGCGUUGUCUAUAAAAGCGCAUUUUCAUUGUUUUGUUCGGCUAAGCCCAGACCAGACGCCGACGCAGGUCUACAUAGAAACCAUAAUUGCUAUAGCCUUUUAUUCAUAAGCUGCACAUAGGCGGUUGUUAAGUUCUCUUGCGCAACAAGCAGUCGCGAAGCUGCCAUUUAUAGACCGCAGCAGCUGGCAGACACGCCAGGGCGUUAAGUGACCCUGAAUUAGUUUCUGGUCCGACUUUUAAGCAGUGAUGUAGUAAUGUAACUGUGGCUUUACGUUCUAGACAAUGUAUCGCAAUACAGAAUGCGUCUUAAUCGUUAUUGCGAUGCAAAACUAUUUAAAUGCUACACAUCUUUGAAGUUAUCCGAAUUUCGAUAUGUUGUUAGUGCAAAAGUUUAAAAGUUUUGUAUGUUCUUUUGUACUGAGCCCAAAAGUUUGUAACAUUUGAGACACACCCAAAAUUUUUCUUCGACCAGACCAACACAUAAGCCGACACGACGUUCACUUUUAGAUUGUAAUCCCAAGUCACCAAGUCAAAAAUGCUAUCAUUGCAUUUGUAUUUGGCAUAAGCAAUAGCUGUCCCUGGGUUUUGUUGCUAUAAUUUUUAUUUGAUCUGAAACUAAAAUUAAAUCUGUGUAUUGAUAUUUGUGGGGCUUCAAUAAUCGAUCGUAUAUAGCAACUAAUUUUCGUUAGCAAAGCGUCUUGGCGUCCAAGGAGCCAGCAUGGGAUGGGCUGGUGUGGCGGGUGUGACGAAUUCAUUGUAUUCCACAACGGUGGACUUCGUGUUGUGGCCUUUUCUAAUUUUUAAUUUAUACAUAUAAAUCAAAAAAUGUGGGGCUAGGAAAAUUCAGAAGAUUGGCGGGUAUCUGACAGACGAAGAAGUCGACUAUAGCGUUCAUUUUAUUUAAAUUUUGAAUGCAUAAAAACAAUUGUAUUUCUCAAAAAAGCAAAUAGAGUUUUCCAUCAGUAACACCGCUGCCAAACAAUGCGCCUGCUAUAUACGCCCUACACCAAAGGCGAGGAGUUCCCAGGUAUAAACUCUGUGCUGCGGACCGAGUAUGCGACUGUGCGAAUUUGAUAUUGUAAUUCAUUUUUAACCGAUUACUUAUACCCGUGAACUGCGGUCCGGGAAUGUUAAUAACAAACUUUGAUAUCGCUCAGAAAGAUUUCUGGCCACGAAAAUAUAUCUGAGUAGAUCGCAGUACAUGUCAUGUGUUUUUCGGUAGCCCAAUAUUCACUUCCAAUUUUAUGGUGGACACAUACUGGCUAAUCCUUAGCAGAGCGCUGCCCUAGUAAAUACGCUCGGAAUUGAAUUUUGUGUUUCAAUUGUGUUUGUAAAAUUCGACUUAAAUAUUUUUCAAUGCGGAUGAUUUAAUGUCUAGACGAACAGGCGCAACCGCCCUUUUCAUAUUAAUCUCGUGCAGAAAAAACCGUGGGUGCAGUGGGUGUUUUCCGGGUGCACUGAAUUACAAAUAGGUAAUGGCGAUUAAAAAUGUAUUAGGAGGAAUUAUUCACUUUCAGUGCAUCUCGACUGCCGAAAAGCCAUUGGUAGAUUAAUCCAUCACACCAAUGCCAGUGUGAAAAUAAGAGCACAGCCGACAAAGGCAGCUGUAGCAAUGUAAAAUUUGGCAUCGUCCUCUCAUUUCAAUUGUUUGAAAACUAAAAAUGCAUAUUAGCUAUAAAAUUUUUUUUUUAAUUGCUUGUGAAAAGCGGAAGCGUCAAACAAUAAGCGGAAAUCGAAGUCCCAUCUGAAAAGCUGAAACUGAACUGACUGCCUUGGGUUCAAGAAGCUCGCCAAGGUUCAGGCUGUUACCAGGGGUUUAACUACUUCAGAAUAUAAUAAGAACGCCUCAUUCUUAUGACAUUGCACGUAAGUUGUUAUUACUUUACAAAACUCAGCUUUAUGAUGUUGUUUUUGGGCAAAAUAAAAAAAAACAAUAAUCGAUACGAUCUAUCCACAAAAAUGUCAAAUUUAAUAUGUAGAUAUAUUAGUAAAUAUAUUUGACUGCUGGUACCUUUGAUUAUGUCUAAGCAAGCAAUGUAAAAAGUGGACGAUUGCCUACAACUAUGUACAUAUUUCCGGCACCAUCGAGUAUUUUCGCUGUAAACGACCUGUCUGUGGCUUGGCUUAGUGGUUUAAGCAGGCCUGGUCAUUGUUGCAGUUUAAAGUUGCCCUGGUGCUUAUCAAAUUCAUUUAAAUUAAAAGAGAAAGGAAAAUGGUUAUUGCCACAACGGUCUUAAGACCGUAUGACUCUAUGUCAGUCGUAAAUUGGUAAACACUGUUUGGAGCCCAUCUGAUAUACAUACAUACAUAUGUACUUGGUACCUUGACCUGCGAAGAAGUUAAACGAACCGUUAUCCGCUGGAGCAUGCAUUCAUAUACCCGCAGUGCUGCACCGCAAAUGCAAGUACAACGCCGCAUAUGUAUAUACAUAAAUUAAAAAGGAUGUAAGUCUUUUUCAGUGUUGACUACUUUUCGGUUGGAUGUUUCGCCAAAAAUGUAUGGUUACUUGACUUUGCUAUUUGUUGUAACCCUUUUAUAAUUUUGGCUUUCUUUUUUGCUGAAUGUACUGAAUGGGCCGGACCUCUUCACAGGCAUGGGUUUGGAGUUGAGGUUGGCUGGAACAAGAUAUGGAACAAGAUAGUCCUCAUUCAAAUGGAAUGGCAAAUCGGUACUUUAAUGUCAUUACCCAAUUUAUAAUUAUUUAACACUUUUAAUACUGCCGUUAUGUAGCACUUAAUGCGACGACCAUGCAGUUGCAGUAUUUCGCCCUCGAAGCGUUUUACAUAAAAAUUGGAUUCCAAUUUAUGGAGCAAUUCCAGCUUUGCCGUUGGACUUGUUAUCCGAGUUUCUAUUCCCAGUCCGGAGUUGCACCCAAUCCGUUCUCUACAUAGAUUCGAUACAGUCACUGCUCGGAAACUUAUUUUGUAGUCUGCGCUCCGUCUCCAGUAUGGAUUGUUGUUGGUUAGCUAUUAUAGAGCACACUAGAUAUGGCAGCCUUAUUGCCAAUGCGACACACGAACCGCGGACAUUGCAUAGCACAUAAAUCGCAGUUGCAGUUAAACGAAGCGAAAGUGAUCAAAUUUAAAGAGGGCGUGGUGAGGCUAGCACCACAAUGUAGCGUUGUCGCUGUCGUUGCAGUCGGUCUAGCUACGGCCUCUAGCAAAAAGAUCUCAGAUACUUACACACACAGUGGAGCAAGCACGAAUGUCUCGUUCACCAGCGAGUUGUGUAUCUGAUGGUUAUGCAACAUUCUCUGUUUGACCCACUUUCGGUCCGUUUACUUGAGGUCUUUGUCGCCAAUGCUGGCCUGCAUUCACUUUCGGGCAACUCAAAUGCAAACUAUGGCCAGAAAUAAUUUUGUAAUCCUUAGAACAGCCAAUUGUUCGAUUAGCCAUCUUUCGCACUUGAGGUUUAGAGGAAAAUGGAAAGCUCUUACGAUUACUAUAUAUCGAAAAAAUUUUGAAAGUUAGCUACCAAUUAACAUUUUGAAAAGUUGCCCAGUUGAUAAUAACAUGUGCCACAAGAGUCAUAUUGCCAGUCAUAACGAGUGCACAUACUGGUCGGCUUGCUGCACUCAACUACAUCUAUGCUGCGUGCCAGCAAAGUCUUUUUUUUUUUUGCGUGUCUGCUUGCUGACAUGGUACAGGUGGCCGUUGCAUAUGACUAAGUCUAUAAAAAAAAACCAGCCGUAACACAGUAUUUUGCGAAUUCACCCCCUUUUUGGCAUUAAUCCUUUUGGAAGCGGUUAGUACCCACAGGUAGAAAGAACGAUGAAAUUCUCCUAUCUAGCUUAAGUUAUCUAAAUAUCAAUAUGCAAAGUCAGGCGUCAAAACUAGGCUCACAAUGACAGUUUCUAAUACGUAGACAAUAAUUCAAAUUACCCACACAAAUGUCCUACUACCGGGCCGCUCUCUGUUCACUUCACAACAAAUAAACUUAGCUAUGUUUGAAGUAUGUAUAUACGUAUAACUCCCGACACAGCUUUUUACUUGGACUGAAAACUGGAGCAUUCUCCCCCAAAAAAUUGUUGGGAGGUAAACUAAGCCACUGCUGAGAUACAGUAGAAAGUAUAUUUUCGAUUGUUCGAGUAUGAGUGGCAACAUAAGCCCAGGCGAUUGGCUAGUUGCAUAACAGUCAAAAAGCGCUUCAUGCCGGAGUCUCGCUUAGUAUUUGAAUGUUGCCCACAGCUACGAAAAUAAAAGUACUCGGGCAAGAGGCGUGGGGCAAGAGAAAGAGGUGGAUAUUUCCUGUUUUGUUUCUCUUUAGGCACACUGCUGCUAUUCACUUUUAUUUAUUACUAUCUAAGACAACUCAAGCCUCCUAUAUCAGCGAUUUUACUGCAAUGAAAAGUCAAAAUUGGGUUAUUUUGGCGGCACCAAUGAUUUCUUUAUAUUUGUUUAUAGAUUUUAAACCAUUUACAUUUGCGAACCCUUAUCCUUUUGCUCGGGCUUGUAGGUUUGACCCCAGCAGAAUAAGGCAUGAAUGACAUUAUAAACCGGAAACACAAUAAUAAAAUGCUGAUCAGUACGGAAAGGAAAAUAUUGUGUUUGUGGUCAUAUGGGUUAUGUUUCAUAAUCAAAGUAAUGUCGGAAUGCAACAAGCAAUUGAAUUGAUCGCCUUUGGCACUGAGUGAUUUAUAUUUCUAUCUGGUCAGUGUGUUGAGCGUGCGUUUAAUAUUUAACCAGACCCAAUGAAAUGGAAGACUGCAACAACAUGCUACGUGUAAUUAAAAGUUCAAACGCGUAACACGAAAAAGGGAAAUUGAGGCUUUUAUGAAGGCAGCGACUAUAUUGCUGAAUAUAACAAAGACCGUUAUUAAGGUUUCAACAUUCAUACUGACCUAUACUAAUAUUAUUAGCCAACUUAUAAGUAAUUAGAAGUGAAAGAAAUAUAAUAUUGAAAAGACUUCCAACUAAAUCCA